rnacentral:misc_RNA from 1 species
CCAAACUUGGUCAUUUAGAGGAAGUAAAAGUCGUAACAAGGUCAUCGUAGGUGAACCUGCGGUGGGAUCAUCACCAGUUUUCCAAAACUAAAAAAUCCUUUCUUUGAAAGCAUGGGAGUGGGAAUGGACGAAAGAGGGAUGUCUCUCUUUCUCUCUUUCCUUCACACCUCUCUUCAAAGAAUAACCCCCCACGUGUGCACCUUUUUAUAUAUCCAUUUUUGUUUUGCGGGUCUCUUUUGAUUCGCAAAACGAGAGUGAGUUUUAUGUUUUGUUUCCCCUCUCUUGUAGAGGGGGGGACAUUACACGAAACAAAAGUUAAAACACCACAAAAUACAAAUCAAGUGUGAACAGUAUACCUAAGCUUUAGUUGGGUUUGAAGCACUCAAUUUCAAAUACAACUAUCAACGGUGGAUCACUUGGCUCUUGCAUCGAUGAAGAACGCAGC